rnacentral:rRNA from 1 species
GACGAACGCGGCGGCGUGCCUAAUACAUGCAAGUCGAACGAACCGCGACUGAGUGCUUGCACUUGGUCAAGGUGAGUGGCGAACGGGUGAGUAACACGUGGGUAACCUACCUCAUAGUGGGGGAUAACAGUCGGAAACGACUGCUAAUACCGCAUAGGACAUGGGAUCACAUGAUUCCGUGAGGAAAGGUGGCGCAAGCUAUCGCUAAGAGAUGGACCCGCGGUGCAUUAGCUAGUUGGUAGGGUAACGGCCUACCAAGGCGAUGAUGCAUAGCCGACCUGAGAGGGUGAUCGGCCACAUUGGGACUGAGAAACGGCCCAAACUCCUACGGGAGGCAGCAGUAGGGAAUCUUCCGCAAUGGACGCAAGUCUGACGGAGCAACGCCGCGUGAGUGAGGAAGGUCUUCGGAUCGUAAAGCUCUGUUGUUAGAGAAGAACAGCGCAUAGAGUAAACUGUUAUGCGUGUGACG